CGAGCUGAAUAUCAAGCCAAACGCAAGCCGACUCAUUCAUUUGCCAGCCCCACUCUCUCCCUCUCUCUAUCUCUUUCUUUCUUUUUUUCUCCUUUCUUUGAGAACCCCAUCUCCCCCCUUUCUUUCUAUCUUUUCCUUUUCUUCUAGAGCUCCAUCUCCCCAUCCCUUUCACCAUCUCUCUCUCUCUACUCACACAUUCCAGACACCGCUCCAAACCUGCAAGUACUACCUCGAUGCCGCUCCCCAUCCACAUCCAUGGGUGCUAAUGCUCCCUAGCGCCACUCCAAACCCGUGGGAAGAAAGGAGAUACUUAGAGCAGCGUCAGGAAACGGCAUUGAGGUAGUGUCUGCAGGCUUGGAGGGCGUCGGGGAGCAGUGUCGAGGUUCUAACCACGGAUUUGAAGCACGGAUUUGGACAGGAGUGGCAUUGAGGUAGUACUCGUUGGUUUGGAGCAACGUUGGGAAUGUGUAGGGGGAAGAAAGAGAGAGAAAGAGAGAUGGUGAAAGGAGUGGGGAGAUGGGGUUCGGGAGAAAGAGAAAAGAUAGAAGGAAAGAGAGGGGGGAGAUGGGGCUCUAAGAGAAAGAGGAAAGAAAGAAGAAAGAAAGAAAUAGAGAGAUGAGAAGAGAAAAGUAACAUUGGGAUUCUCUCUCUCCUUUUUUUCUUUGUUAAUAACGUUAAAGAGAGAAU
rnacentral:lncRNA from 1 species